rnacentral:rRNA from 1 species
UACGUAGGAUCCAAACGUUGUUCGGAAUCAUUGGGCGUAAAGGGUACGCAGGCUGUUCUCUAAGUUAGUGGUGAAAACCCGAGGCUUAACCUCGGGCCUGCCAAUAAUACUGGAGAACUCGAAUCGUAAUAGGGGUGGCGGGAAUUCCUAGUGUAGGAGUGAAAUCUGUAGAUAUUAGGAGGAACACCAACAGUGUAGACAAGCCACUGGGUAACGAUUGACGCUCAGGUACGAGAGCUAGGGGA